UACGUAGGGGGCAAGCGUUAUCCGGAAUUACUGGGUGUAAAGGGUGAGUAGGCGGCAUGGUAAGCCAGAUGUGAAAGCCUUGGGCUUAACCCGAGGAUUGCAUUUGGAACUAUCAAGCUAGAGUACAGGAGAGGAAAGCGGGAUUCCUAGUGUAGCGGUGAAAUGCGUAGAUAUUAGGAAGAACACCAGUGGCGAAGGCGGCUUUCUGGACUGAAACUGACGCUGAGGCACGAAAGCGUGGGGAGCAAACAGG
rnacentral:rRNA from 1 species